UACGGAGGGGGCUAGCGUUGCUCGGAAUCACUGGGCGUAAAGGGUGCGUAGGCGGGUCUUUAAGUCAGGGGUGAAAUCCUGGAGCUCAACUCCAGAACUGCCUUUGAUACUGAGGAUCUUGAGUACGGGAGAGGUGAGUGGAACUGCGAGUGUAGAGGUGAAAUUCGUAGAUAUUCGCAAGAACACCAGUGGCGAAGGCGGCUCACUGGCCCGUUACUGACGCUGAGGCACGAAAGCGUGGGGAGCAAACAGG
rnacentral:rRNA from 1 species